UAAGUUUGAUGGCGACCGGCGCACGGGUGAGUAACACGUAUCCAACCUGCCGAUGACUCGGGGAUAGCCUUUCGAAAGAAAGAUUAAUACCCGAUGGCAUAGUUCUUCCGCAUGGUGGAACUAUUAAAGAAUUUCGGUCAUCGAUGGGGAUGCGUUCCAUUAGGUUGUUGGCGGGGUAACGGCCCACCAAGCCUUCGAUGGAUAGGGGUUCUGAGAGGAAGGUCCCCCACAUUGGAACUGAGACACGGUCCAGACUCCUACGGGAGGCAGCAUG
rnacentral:rRNA from 1 species